GACGGAUGGGGAAGGGGCACAAAAAUGGACACAAAGCCCCUUUAAGGGUUUAGGGACGAGCAGCUACCAGGCCCGAGCCGCUGACCUUGAGUUCUCCUUGGGGGGCAGGCCCUUGUUCCCAGAUUCCCACCCCCAGACUGGCAAGAGGAAGAUGGGCACGGUCUGAUUUGUACCUCCCAGGCGUCUAGCACGGCGUUCAGCACACACUCCAGCUCAGGGCCGGCUGAUGGAGGACACGGGGCCUGCUGUUGUCAUGGCAGCAGACACCGGUGUCGUCAUGGUGGAGGGCACCGCCUGUUCCAGCUCGGCCGAGCACUCUGGGGAGGGGCGAAGAGAAGGCGAUGAUGGACGGGGGGACGCCCAAGAGAUGAAGUAAUGGAGGCCCAGAGAAGCGCACUGACUUGCCC